CCCGGGCAGGUGGAGGUCGUUAGCCGUGGUAGGCAAUCUGCCUAGGAGAGCAAACUCUAUACAAACCCGGGCAGGUGAGGCUCGUUAGCCGUGGUAGGCAAUUCACCUAGGAGAGCAAACUCUAUACAAACCCGGGCAGGUGGAGGUCGUUAGCCGUGGGAGGCAAUUCACCUAGGAGAGCAAACUCCGAACAAUAAACCCGGGCAGGUGGAGGUCGUUAGCCGUGGUAGGCAAUUCACCUAGGAGAGCAAACUCUAUACAAACCCGGGCAGGUGGAGGUCGUUAGCCGUGGUAGGCAAUUCACCUAGGAGAGCAAACUCUAUACAAACCCGGGCAGGUGGAGGUCGUUAGCCGUGGUAGGCAAUUCACCUAGGAGAGCAAACUCCGAACAAUAAACCCGGGCAGGUGGAGGUCGUUAGCCGUGGGAGGCAAUUCACCUAGGAGAGCAAACUCCGAACAAUAAACCCGGGCAGGUGGAGGUCGUUAGCCGUGGGAGGCAAUUCACCUAGGAGAGCAAACUCCGAACAAUAAACCCGGGCAGGUGGAGGUCGUUAGCCGUGGUAGGCAAUUCACCUAGGAGAGCAAACUCUAAACAAACCCGGGCAGGUGGAGGUCGUUAGCCGUGGGAGGCAAUUCACCUAGGAGAGCAAACUCCGAACAACAAACCCGGGCAGGUGGAGGUCGUUAGCCGUGGUAGGCAAUUCACCUAGGAGAGCAAACUCUAAACAAACCCGGGCAGGUGAGGCUCGUUAGCCGUGGUAGGCAGUUCACCUAGGAGAGCAAACUCCGAACAACAAACCCGGGCAGGUGGAGGUCGUCAGCCGUGGUAGGCAAUCUUCCUAGGAGAGCAAACUCCGAACAACAAACCCGGGCAGGUGGAGCUCGUCAGCCGUGGUAGGCAAUCUUCCUAGGAGAGCAAACUCCGAACAACAAACCCGGGCAGGUGGAGCUCGUCAGCCGUGGUAGGCAAUCUGCCUAGGAGAGCAAACUCCGAACAAUAAACCCGGGCAGGUGGAGGUCGUCAGCCGUGGUAGGCAGUCUGCCUAGGAGAGCAAACUCCGAACAAUAAACCCGGGCAGGUGGAGCUCGUUAGCCGUGGUAGGCAGUCUGCCUAGGAGAGCAAACUCUAAACAAACCCGGGCAGGUGGAGGUCGUCAGCCGUGGUAGGCAAUCUGCCUAGGAGAGCAAACUCUAAAUAAACCCGGGCUUGUGGUGCUCGUUAUACUGUCGUAGACAAUCCACGCGAUGGGAACACCAAAGAAAAGGAAAAUAAAAAAGAACACCAGAAAAAUGGAAAAUACAGAAACGAAACAUCAAUAAAAGAAACAAAAAGAUCAUCCACCUUUAGGCCCUAACAUCGCCAAAAUUAUGGGUGGGUCUCUUCUGGGGAGAAAGCGGCUCACCCAGACCAAAGAACAUCAACAAGGGAUGAUAUAGAAAAGAACACCAAAAAAAUAUGGAAAAAGAACAGAAAAAACAUCGAAAAAGAAAAGCAACAGAAAUAAAUGAGCAACAUCGAGAAAAGAAAUACAAAGAAACAUCAUCCACCUUUCGGCCCCAAACAACAUCACCAAAAUUAUGGAUGGGUCUCUUCUGGGAGGAAAGCGGCUCAUCCAGACCAAGGAACAUCAACAAAAGGAUGAUGGGAAAAAAAUAACAACAAAAAACAUCAAAAAGAAGUAAAAAGAAAAAGAACAGGAAAACAUCGAAAAAGAAAACAAAAGCAAUAAAAAGAACGAAAAACACGACAUCAAGAAAAUAAAAUAAAACAAACAUCAUCCACCUUUCUGCCCUAACAACAUCUCCAAAAUUAUGGGUGGGUCUCUUCUGGGAGGAAAGCGGCUCACCCAGACCAACGAACAUCAACAAAAGGAUGAUAGGAAAAAAGAACACCAAAAAAGAACAUAAAGAAAGAAAACCAACAGCAAGAAAACAC